UACGUAGGGUGCAAGCGUUAAUCGGAAUUACUGGGCGUAAAGCGUGCGCAGGCGGUUAUGUAAGACAGGUGUGAAAUCCCCGGGCUUAACCUGGGAACUGCAUUUGUGACUGCAUAGCUAGAGUACGGCAGAGGGGGAUGGAAUUCCGCGUGUAGCAGUGAAAUGCGUAGAUAUGUGGAGGAACACCGAUGGCGAAGGCAGCCCCCUGGGCCUGUACUGACGCUCAUGCACGAAAGCGUGGGGAGCAAACAGG
rnacentral:rRNA from 1 species